CUUAGCCGGUACUCGCGAAUGCUCUAGAUUAGACGUUGAUCAUGGCUCAGACUGAGACGCUGGCGUGCCAAGCCUAACACAUGCAAGUCGAACGGUAACAGGAAGCAGCUUGCUGCUUCGCUGACGAGUGGCGGACGGGUGAGUAAUGUCUGGGAGACUGCCUGAUGGAGGGGGGUAACUACUGGAAACGGUAGCUAAUACCGCAUAACGUCGCAAGACCAAAGAGGGGGACCUUCGGGCCCCUUGCCAUCGGAUGUGCCCAGAUGGGAUUAGCUAGUAGGUGGGGUAACGGCUCACCUAGGCGACGAUCCCUAGCUGGUCUGAGAGGAUGACCAGCCACACUGGAACUGAGACACGGUCCAGACUCCUACGGGAGGCAGCAGUGGGGAAUAUUGCACAAUGGGCGCAAGCCUGAUNGCAGCCAUGCCGCGUGUAUGAAGAAGGCCUUCGGGUUGUAAAGUACUUUCAGCGGGGAGGAAGGCGAUAAGGUUAAUAACCUUGUCGAUUGACGUUUACCCGCGAGGAAGAAGCACCGGCGUAACUCCGUGCCAAGCAGCCGCGGGUAAUAACCGGAGGGGUGNNACAGGUUUAANCGNAUACCUGAGGGCAGUAAAAAGACACCCCACAGCGAGNUUUUGUNAAAUUCGNAUUUUAAAUCCCGGGGCUCAACUGAGGAACANGUUUCAAAUGGANAGGCUUANACUCGNCAAGGGGGUCAAUCCACGNUUGACUGGGAUCANUAAUUCUGAGAAACCAGUGAANGGGCCNGACAAAUAAU
rnacentral:rRNA from 1 species